UCGGUGGCAAAAAAUAUCAAGUCUUAGAGUGACCAAGCAGUAAUUCAUUUAGUUGAAUUAUUACGAAGUAAUCUCUGAGCACCGCUUCACUUGUUGAAGCAAAUCGAACUUUUAAUUGAAGAGUUUGAUCAUGGCUCAGAUUGAACGCUGGCGGCAGGCCUAACACAUGCAAGUCGAGCGGCAGCGGAAAGUAGCUUGCUACUUUGCCGGCGAGCGGCGGACGGGUGAGUAAUGUCUGGGAAACUGCCUGAUGGAGGGGGAUAACUACUGGAAACGGUAGCUAAUACCGCAUGACCUCGAAAGAGCAAAGUGGGGGAUCUUCGGACCUCACGCCAUCGGAUGUGCCCAGAUGGGAUUAGCUAGUAGGUGAGGUAAUGGCUCACCUAGGCGACGAUCCCUAGCUGGUCUGAGAGGAUGACCAGCCACACUGGAACUGAGACACGGUCCAGACUCCUACGGGAGGCAGCAGUGGGGAAUAUUGCACAAUGGGCGCAAGCCUGAUGCAGCCAUGCCGCGUGUGUGAAGAAGGCCUUAGGGUUGUAAAGCACUUUCAGCGAGGAGGAAGGCAUCACACUUAAUACGUGUGGUGAUUGACGUUACUCGCAGAAGAAGCACCGGCUAACUCCGUGCCAGCAGCCGCGGUAAUACGGAGGGUGCAAGCGUUAAUCGGAAUUACUGGGCGUAAAGCGCACGCAGGCGGUUUGUUAAGUCAGAUGUGAAAUCCCCGCGCUUAACGUGGGAACUGCAUUUGAAACUGGCAAGCUAGAGUCUUGUAGAGGGGGGUAGAAUUCCAGGUGUAGCGGUGAAAUGCGUAGAGAUCUGGAGGAAUACCGGUGGCGAAGGCGGCCCCCUGGACAAAGACUGACGCUCAGGUGCGAAAGCGUGGGGAGCAAACAGGAUUAGAUACCCUGGUAGUCCACGCUGUAAACGAUGUCGACUUGGAGGUUGUGCCCUUGAGGCGUGGCUUCCGGAGCUAACGCGUUAAGUCGACCGCCUGGGGAGUACGGCCGCAAGGUUAAAACUCAAAUGAAUUGACGGGGGCCCGCACAAGCGGUGGAGCAUGUGGUUUAAUUCGAUGCAACGCGAAGAACCUUACCUACUCUUGACAUCCACGGAAUUCGCCAGAGAUGGCUUAGUGCCUUCGGGAACCGUGAGACAGGUGCUGCAUGGCUGUCGUCAGCUCGUGUUGUGAAAUGUUGGGUUAAGUCCCGCAACGAGCGCAACCCUUAUCCUUUGUUGCCAGCACGUAAUGGUGGGAACUCAAAGGAGACUGCCGGUGAUAAACCGGAGGAAGGUGGGGAUGACGUCAAGUCAUCAUGGCCCUUACGAGUAGGGCUACACACGUGCUACAAUGGCAUAUACAAAGAGAAGCGAACUCGCGAGAGCAAGCGGACCUCAUAAAGUAUGUCGUAGUCCGGAUUGGAGUCUGCAACUCGACUCCAUGAAGUCGGAAUCGCUAGUAAUCGUAGAUCAGAAUGCUACGGUGAAUACGUUCCCGGGCCUUGUACACACCGCCCGUCACACCAUGGGAGUGGGUUGCAAAAGAAGUAGGUAGCUUAACCUUCGGGAGGGCGCUUACCACUUUGUGAUUCAUGACUGGGGUGAAGUCGUAACAAGGUAACCGUAGGGGAACCUGCGGUUGGAUCACCUCCUUACC
rnacentral:rRNA from 1 species